rnacentral:sRNA from 1 species
UUUAGUCGAGCGGCUGAUGGUGCGGUAAACUGAGUUCCUUUCGCGGUCAAUUGGCAUUGUUUUCGUGUAUUGUCGCUAGCUCAAUGCUUGUUUUAACAAACAAAAAGUGUUGGCCAGUUUGAAUUGCAUGCAAACGGAUUGAGCUAUUUAUUUAUUUGUGAAAAUCGGUAAUCUUAAGUGUUUGGCCAGCGUUGGCAUCUACAUAUCUGCAUAUGCGUAUGCGUGUGUGCGUGUGCUUUUAGGUGUGAGAUGGCGAAAAUCAAUAACAAAGCAAACUGCGAAUAGGGUCAAAAUAAAACACGCAAAAAGCGUUUUAAUUCCGAGUAUUUCUUAAAAAAAAAAAAC